rnacentral:rRNA from 1 species
GAUGAACGCUGGCGGCGUGCUUAACACAUGCAAGUCGAACGGAAAGGCCCAAGCUUGCUUGGGUACUCGAGUGGCGAACGGGUGAGUAACACGUGGGUGAUCUGCCCUGCACUUCGGGAUAAGCCUGGGAAACUGGGUCUAAUACCGGAUAGGACCACAUUUUGGAUGGUGUGGUGGAAAGUUUUUCGGUGUGGGUUGAGCUCGCGGCCUAUCAGCCUGUUGGUGGGGUAAUGGCCUACCAAGGCGUCGACGGGUAGCCGGCCUGAGAGGGUGUACGGCCACAUUGGGACUGAGAUACGGCCCAGACUCCUACGGGAGGCAGCAGUGGGGAAUAUUGCACAAUGGGCGCAAGCCUGAUGCAGCGACGCCGCGUGGGGGAUGACGGCCUUCGGGUUGUAAACUCCUUUCGCUAGGGACGAAGCGCAAGUGACGGUACCUGGAGAAGAAGCACCGGCUAACUACGUG